rnacentral:lncRNA from 1 species
CUUAGAUUAGUUUAGUUCUUCACUUGUUAAUGUACAUAUAUAAAUGGAAGAUGUGAAUAAUUAUUGUUCUGUGAUUAUUAUUGUUUAAUAAUCAUUAGAUGUUUGUGUUGUGUGGUUAUAUGUAUGCUUGAUCUUGUACUAUUGUGCUACACCGUGCAUGUAUAGGGGAGACUCUAUCCGUUUGUACAGAAAAUUCUUUGUCCAUAUAGUGGGUCUGUGUACGUCUGCGGGGUGUUCUUAAAGGUGUUU